UUCAUAUAGUUAAACAUUUAGUGUUGUUGUUACGAUUUUGAUUAGUUUGAUUUCUUGUAUUAUUUUUGAGUAAUUCUUGUGUUAAGUAAUAAUGAGCUAACUGUUUAGGUUUUGUCUAAUUGUUUAAUGUAUUUGUUAACCCCCCAUGUGUUGUAGACUGGUCUGAUCAGCCAGUAUUUAAGUGUCCCUUUGUUUCAUGUCUGUUAGGUCAGGUUAAUUGUUUUGUUAGGUUAGUUUGGUUCUCUUUGAGUUACAUGCUAAACAGUUAGUUUAAAGUUUCCUGAGUUAUUGUUAUACUUUGGUUUAGUUUUGUUUAUUUGACCUCUUUUAAGGGCCCAAACUUUUUGUGAGUAUUCUUUUGGGUAAAUAAAACCCGCUCUUGUUUUGAAACCAACUGUGUCCUUGCCUUGUACCAGCUCGAUCCAUCACACUUGCUCUGCCUGAAAGAA